CUAGUUGUGAAGUUAGGACUGAAGAAAGCAGGACUACAAAUCUCGGUACUGACGAACAGGAACCGUAUAUGAGGCAUAAUUAUUUGGGUAAGCAAGCACAUCAUUGUUACGCUCUAAAUAGUAUCAAAAGGGUAAUUAUGUAGAUACGGCAGGGAUUGAGAGAAAGAAGAUGUU
rfam:Dokdonia sp. 4H-3-7-5 chromosome, complete genome.